rnacentral:rRNA from 1 species
UACGGAGGGAGCUAGCGUUGUUCGGAAUUACUGGGCGUAAAGGGCGCGUAGGCGGCCCUCCAAGUCAGAUGUGAAAGCCCCGGGCUUAACCUGGGAAUAGCAUUUGAGACUGAAGGGCUUGAGUUUCGGAGAGGUGGGUGGAAUUCCCAGUGUAGAGGUGAAAUUCGUAGAUAUUGGGAAGAACACCGGUGGCGAAGGCGGCCCACUGGACGAACACUGACGCUGAGGCGCGAAAGCGUGGGGAGCAAACAAG